CGGCGGUUGGCGGCUGGCUGCGCCGGGCGGUCGCCGCUCACUGGCAGCAGGGGGGGCUGCUGCAGCAGCGAGGCGCCAGCCCUCCUCCACAUGGUGGUGGAGGAGGAGGCGCCAGCCUUGCAUGACCAGUGUCGGAAGGAACUGCAGGUGCUGGUUUCCACCGAAGAUAAGACACCAAAUCAAUGCUGGAGUAACUCAGCGGGACAGGCAGCAUCUCUGGAGAGAGGGAAUGGGGAGGUUUCACGGCAGUCGGGUCACGACCCAUGACCCGUACUGUUGCUACGCUACUCCAAAUGGAUUACACGCGAUGAACUGCAGCGCAAAGAUUCAACAUUUUGGCGGUUUUUAACAGUCUCAUAAUGGCUUCUUUGACUUUCAUUGGCACAACUUUGGUCCUCGUGUUGAUAAAGGUGAUGGAAAGACUGGCGGGAAGACUAGGUGCUGAGAGUUCUCUUAUACCUGCAUUGAGGAGGCAAUUAAACACACCUGAGCAAUUACAGACGCCUGUGAAGCCAUGCGUCCCAAACAUUAUGAUGCCCUGAAAUGGGGGGACUGUAUAACCACAGCUGUCAUUUCUACAUGGUGAAUCCAAAAUGUAUAAAAAUACCCUUUAAUAAAAUCUGACAAUGUACACUUUAACCACAUGUGAUGUUUUCUAUUACUAAUCUCAAAUUGUGGAGUA